UGUAGUGUGAACGAUGAUGCAUACAUGUCAACUAUGGGUGUUGGCUCGAACAAUUCUCAUUGGUCUCAAACCAAUGACAUGCAUUUUGAAGACCAUGAGUUCGAGGUGGACGAGGAUGGUGAGGGCAUUGUCGAUGCACCGAAAGGAAGAGUGGGCAAUUACACCAACGCCAAAGACAUCUUACUAUGCAAUACUUGGUUGCAAGUGUUGAGGGAUCCAUCCGUUGGAGGUGAUCAAAGUAUAGAUGCUUAUUGGCUCCGGAUAAAAGAACACUUUGAUCUUGGCAACAUGAGUGGAAUUGACCGCUCCGCACGAUCACUUCGCUCCUGUUGGUCGACCAUCAAUAGGGACUGUCAACAAUGGUCGGCCGCACAAAAAGUGGUUGACAAGUUGAACCCAAGUGCCACCAAUGAUGAUGAUAGGGUAAGUGUGGUUUCAUCAUUCCUCAUGUUCACAUCAUGCUUGUUGUUGGUGUUUCUUGUGCUAACUUGUUUUGUUUUCAUGUAG
rnacentral:rRNA from 1 species